UAGGGAAUUUUGCGCAAUGGGGGAAACCCUGACGCAGCAACACCGCGUGAAUGUUAAGCCCUUCGGGGUGUAAAGUUCUGUCAGUAGGGACGAAAUUUGACUGUACCUACAAAGGAAGCACCGGCUAACUCCGUGCCAGCAGCCGCGGUAAUACGGGGGGUGCAAGCGUUGUCCGGAAUUACUGGGUGUAAAGGGAGCGCAGGCGGGAAGUCAAGUCAGCUGUGAAAACUAUGGGCUCAACCCAUAGACUGCAGUUGAAACUGGCAGUCUUGAGUACAGUAGAGGUAAGCGGAAUUCGUGGUGUAGCGGUGAAAUGCUUAGAUAUCACGAAGAACUCCAAGUGCGAAGGCAGCUUGCUGGACUGUAACUGACGCUGAUGCUCGAAAGUGUGGGUAUCAAACA
rnacentral:rRNA from 1 species